GCUGUGCGCAGGCGCCGCGGUGCCGGUGCGGGGGAGGGGCGGAGGGCUGGUGUCCGGAAGCAGGUCAAACUGCGUCAGAAGCGAUCAGCCAUCGCGGUGCGAGCUUGUUAAGCACGGGGCCAGUGGCGCAAUGGAUAACGCGUCUGACUACGGAUCAGAAGAUUCUAGGUUCGACUCCUGGCUGGCUCGAGGUGUCCUUUUGCCACACCGGCGCUUGGUGCCAUAGGCCUUCUUGGAAGGAUUAUGUGUGAUACAGGACGUGAAGGUGCCCGGCUGCACACCCGAGGUGCCUCAGGACAUCCGCGGCAGAAAGGAGACUCGAACCCCAGGACUUGCUGAGUCAUCGCAAUCAAUCAGGCCUCAAUUACAGAGAAUUUCUUAAUCAGGGGAAAUUAUAGGAAAUAAAAAUAAAGCAGGGGCUGGGGGGAUACACACAUGGGUGACAAAAUACAAGAUGAAUGUUUUUUAAAAAAUUUAAACUUACUGGAGUAAGACAUGUUGCCAUUAAUUCUCUCAAGGUAGUCUCCUGAACACGUCCCAUCAUUCUUGCCACUUUCUGAAGCAGUUCCAGAAGUCCUCUUUCCUGAAUAUCUUUACCAGGUGUGAUUAAGAAAAAUACAGUAGAUGCUGCUGCCCAGUGCCAUCCAACAGAAAGGCAGCUCCUAAAAACAACAUUGUGUCUUCAUCCAACUUAUUCACCAGAUCUGGCACUGUGACUUAUGGCUUUUCCCCAGGGUCGAAAUGAUCAUGAAAGGUCAACGUUUUGAAUCCAUGCAGGACAUGGAGGCAGCCAGGAUAGCACUAAAGACACUCAGGGAAGAGAACUCCAGAGCUGCUGCAGGAAGCCGAAGAAAUAACAGGAUAUGUGUUCAAAGCCAAGGGGAGGGUUCUGAGACUCACAGCAGUGUUGUCUUCUACUGUAAUACUUAUUUUUUUUUUUUUUGGUACCGGGGAUUGAACUCAGGACCUUGUGCUUUCGAGGCAGACAGUGGAACCACUGAGCUAAAUCCCCUGCCCCGACUUUUUUUUUUACUCCAAUACAUUUUUUUUAAAAAAACAUAAGCAUUUGCUGUAUUGUUGGGUCACACAGUGGUAAAGUGCCUGGCUUUGUGUGUGUGAAUUCAGUCCCCAGCACCAAAAAAUAAAACCCAUUCCCACUCCAGGAUGGUUGCUAUUAGCAUUUUGAACCCAAGACCUCUACCACUGAGUUCCAUCCCAGCCCGUAAUAGUGUUUUUUGGAUUUGUUUGUAGUACUAGGGACAGAACCCUGGGACCACUAAGCUGCAUCCCCAGCACUUAACGAUUUUUUUAAAUUUCAGACAGUUUCACUAAGUUGCCCAGGCCAGGUUCAAACUUAUUUUAUAACCAUCCUGCCUCAGCUUUGGGAGUAACUGGGAGUUACAAACUUGCACCAUCACAUGCAGCCUUUAAUGUAGCCUUGCCUAUGCAUGCAUUUUCCCAAGUGGGGCUAUGCUGUCAUUUUUAUCUCUUAGCUUUUUGUCUGAAGUUUAAGGUCAUUAAAUAAUGUAUUUUAAGUAUAA